UACAGAGGGUGCAAGCGUUGUUCGGAAUUAUUGGGCGUAAAGGGCGCGUAGGCGGUUUGCUAAGUCAGUUGUGAAAGCCCGGGGCUCAACCUCGGAGGGUCGGCUGAUACUGGUGGACUAGAGUACGGAAGAGGUAGCUGGAAUUCCGGGUGUAGCGGUGGAAUGCGUAGAGAUCCGGAAGAACACCGGUGGCGAAGGCGGCCUGCUGGGCUAUGGCUGACACUGAGGCGCGACAGCGUGGGGAGCAAACAGG
rnacentral:rRNA from 1 species